AUUCCUCGGGGAGGAAUAUGUUCGAGUCGUCCGGGAAAAGCAGCCUCGGUCCUGCACCGAGCGAAAUUCGUGUCGUCCUCGUUGCAAUUAAAGAGAGAGUGGAGGAGAUUCGGGGUUCCACGGGGUGAUAAAAUGUAUUUGUGUAUCUCGCUGCGUGACAUUAGCCAUGGAGAAAGAGGAUGUCGAGCAACUUCCCGAAAUACAUCGCGGCCGAAGUGUAUCAUUUAAACGAGUUAUUUUCGUGCGGUACAUACGGAUUCGUUUUCGAAAAUGCGUAGGUUACAUCGGUAUUUUCGAUGCUGUCGCAACUAUUAGAACGGAUAGAUUAUAAGGUCCAAAAAUAUUCCAGAAGUCUGUUUAUAUCGAUACACAUAACGUAAUUGCUCGCAUCCCUCAAUUAAAAUCGUCGCGAGAAGAGUGGAAGGGGAGUAAGGCUGCUUGAAAAGCAUCGCCCGAUAAUAAGAAUCCGUUUCAAUAGCUCCGAUAUCUCGAAUACUUUAAUUUUCAACAAUAAAAUCAAUAACACAGAAAUAAUUCAAGUAUUUGCGAUGGUUAUGUGAGAAAAAAAAACAAACAAUUAAAAAUGUGUGAAUCUUAUCUAUACAAAAAUAUUUUACCCUAGAAAAUAAAAAAUUCUUAAAUUCUUA